rnacentral:rRNA from 1 species
UGGGGAAUAUUGGGCAAUGGGGGCAACCCUGACCCAGCGACGCCGCGUGGGUGAUGAAGGCCUUCGGGUCGUAAAGCCCUGUCGGGAGGAACGAAUGAGCGGACGGCAAAGAGCCGUCGGCUGUGACGGUACCUCCGAAGGAAGCACCGGCCAACUCCGUGCCAGCAGCCGCGGUAAGACGGAGGGUGCGAGCGUUGCUCGGAAUCACUGGGCGUAAAGGGUGCGUAGGCGGUCUCUCAAGUCGGGCGUGAAAGCCCACGGCUCAGCCGUGGAAGGGCGCUCGAAACGGAGAGGCUGGAGUGCCGGAGGGGAGAGUGGAAUUCCCGGUGUAGCGGUGAAAUGCGUAGAUAUCGGGAGGAAUACCGGUGGCGAAAGCGACUCUCUGGACGGCAACUGACGCUGAGGCACGAAAGCGUGGGGAGCAAACAGGAUUAGAUACCCGUGUAGUCC